rnacentral:rRNA from 1 species
AACGAACGCUGGCGGCAUGCCUAACACAUGCAAGUCGAACGAGACCUUCGGGUCUAGUGGCGCACGGGUGCGUAACGCGUGGGAACCUGCCCUUAGGUUCGGAAUAACUCCCCGAAAGGGGUGCUAAUACCGGAUAAUGUCUUCGGACCAAAGAUUGAUCGCCUUUGGAUGGGGCCGCGUUGGAUUAGCUAGUUGGUAGGGUAAAAGCCUACCAAGGCGACGAUCCAUAGCUGGUCUGAGAGGAUGAUCAGCCACACUGGGACUGAGACACGGCCCAGACUACUGCGGGAGGCAGCAGUGGGGAAUAUUGGACAAUGGGCGAAAGCAUGAUCCAGCAAUGCCGCGUGAGUGAUGAAGGCCUUAGGGUUGUAAAGCUCUUUUACCCGGGAUGAUAAUGACAGUACCGGGAGAAUAAGCUCCGGCUAACUCCGUG